rnacentral:rRNA from 1 species
UACGAGGGGUGCAAGCGUUAUUCGGAAUAAUUGGGCGUAAAGGGUGCGUAGACGGCUUGUUAAGUCAACUGUUAAAUUCUCCGGCCUAACUGGAGGUCAGCGGUAGAAACUGGCGAGCUUGAGAUUAGAAGAGAGGAGUGGAAUUCUCGGAGUAGCGGUAAAAUGCGUAGAUCUCGAGAGGAACACCGAUGGCGAAGGCAGCUCCUUGGUCUAUAUCUGACGUUGAGGCACGAAAGCGUGGGGAGCAAACAGG